rnacentral:misc_RNA from 1 species
UAAUCAAGUAAACAUACCUCACUUGAAGCAAAGCUCAAAUUUCAACAAGUUAGAGUUAUUUUCAUCAAAAAUGGACAUCAAAAACAAAACCAAGAUGUCCAAAUUAGCGAAGGAGGAAACUAUCAACUUAGCUUACUAGGAUGCUGAUGUGGCUGUGACUAAUGACGUGGCAGAUGAUGUGGACAUGACUAAUGACGUGACAGAUGAUGUGGCUGUUGUGGUUGAAUAAUGUAGCACUAAUGUGGAUUAUUGAUAUGCCAAAGAGAAUAGUGCAAAUCUAUUGCUUGUAGGCUCCUAGUGAGCUGUGUGAGCUUGCCUUAAUGUAGAAAGGGAUCACUGACCCAAACGUCGGGUUAUGGUUGCUGGGGGCGUCAAACAACUGUACCGAUGGUGGAAAAAUGGCAAACUGCUGACGGCAAGGCUCAAGGAGGGUUCAGAUGCCAGAAUCGUGAAGGAUCUAAUAGGUCGUGACUGGGGUCAUUUUUUAUUGCUACGGAUCUAGAGCUCCAACUAAAGUCUGGCGACCAGAAGGGUACCUCUCGACUCACCACGGGCCAGUGAGUCUUCAGGCGAUGGUGGCAUGGUUGUUGGAUGGCCGGAUGGUGGGGGUUUAUGAAAGGCAAGGAUAGCACAAAUAACUAUUUCUCGCGAGUUUGGGGUUUUUCUUUUUGAAGUGGCUUUUUUUAAAAAAAUAAAAAAUAAAAACAG